CCAAUAGCGUAUAUUAAAGUUGCUGCGGUUAAAAAGCUCGUAGUUGAAUUUCGGAAUUGAUGCAUCGGUCGUGCCUUAAGGGGCAUGAACUGGUGUAGCCAAUUUCUCACCUUCUGGUAAAUUGUUGAUGUUCUUAAUUGGGUGUCUCAAUGAACUGGAAUUUUUUACUUUGAAAAAAUUAGAGUGUUUAAAGCAGGCAUUGAUUUGCUUGAAUACAUUAGCAUGGAAUAAUGAAAUAGGACGGUGGUUCUGUUUUGUUGGUUUCAAGGAUCACGUAAUGAUUAAUAGGGACAGUUGGGGGCAUUAGUAUUCAAUUGUCAGAGGUGAAAUUCUUGGAUUUAUUGAAGACUAACUACUGCGAAAGCAUUUGCCAAGGAUGUUUUCAUUAAUCAAGAACGAAAGUUAGGGGAGCAAAGACGAUUAAGUAUGUUGUAGUCCUAACCAUAAACUAUGCCGACUAGGAAUCAGAUGAUGUUAAUUUUUUAAUGACUCGUUUGGUACCUUACG
rnacentral:rRNA from 1 species